AUUGAACGCUGGCGGCAUGCCUUACACAUGCAAGUCGAUCGGUAACGCGGGGGCAACCCUGGCGACGAGAGGCGGACGGGUGAGCAAUGCUUGGGAAUCUGCCCAUCAGCGGGGGACAACCCGGGGAAACCCGGGCUAAUACCGCAUACGCUCUACGGAGGAAAGCCGGGGACCGCAAGGCCUGGCACUGACGGAUGAGCCCAAGCCGGAUUAGCUAGUUGGCGGGGUAACGGCCCACCAAGGCGACGAUCCGUAGCUGGUCUGAGAGGACGAUCAGCCACACCGGAACUGAGACACGGUCCGUACUCCGACGGGAGGCAGCAGUGGGGAAUAUUGGACAAUGGGGGGAACCCUGAUCCAGCGACGCCGCGGGGGUGAAGAAGGCCUGCGGGUUGUAAAGCCCUUUCGGUAGGGACGAAAGCUUCCGACCUAACACGUCGGAGGGUUGACUUAACCUACAGAAGAAGCACCGGCUAACUCUGUGCCAGCAGCCGCUGUAACAC
rnacentral:rRNA from 1 species